GGUGGUAACUGUCACUAGUCACCCCAUCACUCUAUCACCUGCCACCCCUUCACUCUGUCACUAGUCACCCCCUCACUCUAGUGACAGAGAGAGGGAGGGUGUGACUAGUGACAGAGAGAGGGAGGGUGUGACUAGUGACAGAGUGAGGGAGGGAAGGGGUGACUAGUGAGAGUGAGGGAGGUGGUGAUUAGUGACAGAGGGAGGAAUGGGGUGACUAUCACUGUGUCACCCCCUUCCUCACUCUGUCACUAGUCACCCUCUCCCUCCCUCACUCGGUCACUAUUCACCCCCUCUCUCACUCUGUCACCAGUCAUUCCCUCACUCUGUCACCAGUCAUCUCUUCCUUCCCUCACUCUGCCACUAUUCAUCCCUUCCCUCA